rnacentral:rRNA from 1 species
AUUGAACGCUGGCGGCAUGCCUUACACAUGCGAGUCGAACGGCAGCACGGGUGCUUGCACCUGGUGGCGAGUGGCGAACGGGUGAGUAAUACAUCGAAACAUGUCCUGUAGUGGGGGAUAGCCCGGCGAAAGCCGGAUUAAUACCGCAUACGAUCUACGGAUGAAAGCGGGGGACCUUCGGGCCUCGCGCUAUAGGGUUGGCCGAUGGCUGAUUAGCUAGUUGGUGGGGUAAAGGCCUACCAAGGCGACGAUCAGUAGCUGGUCUGAGAGGACGACCAGCCACACUGGGACUGAGACACGGCCCAGACUCCUACGGGAGGCAGCAGUGGGGAAUUUUGGACAAUGGGCGAAAGCCUGAUCCAGCAAUGCCGCGUGUGUGAAGAAGGCCUUCGGGUUGUAAAGCACUUUUGUCCGGAAAGAAAUCCUUGGCCCUAAUACGGUCGGGGGAUGACGGUACCGGAAGAAUAAGCACCGGCUAACUACGUG